rnacentral:rRNA from 1 species
AUACGGAGGAUGCGAGCGUUAUCCGGAUUUAUUGGGUUUAAAGGGAGCGUAGAUGGGAGCUUAAGCCAGUUGUGAAAAGCGCGGGCCCAACCCGCGUCGUGCAAUUGGAACUGUGUUCCUUGAGUGGGUUCGGGGCAGGUGGAAUUCGUGGUGUAGCGGUGAAAUGCUUAGAUAUCACGAAGAACUCCGACAGCGUAGGCAUCCUGCCAGGCCCUUACUGACAUUGAAGCUCGAAGGUGUGGGUAUCAAACAGGAUUAGAUACCCUGGUAGUCCGCACGGUAAACGAUGGAUGCCCGCUGUCGGCGACAGACAGUCGGCGGCCAAGCGAAAGCGUUAAGCAUCCCACCUGGGGAGUACGCCGGCAACGGUGAAACUCAAAUGAAUUGACGGGG